rnacentral:rRNA from 1 species
GUGGGGAAUCUUGCGCAAUGGGCGAAAGCCUGACGCAGCGACGCCGCGUGUGGGAAGAAGGCCUUCGGGUUGUAAACCACUUUCAGGAGGGAAGAAGCGAGAGUGACGGUACCUCCAGAAGAAGCCCCGGCCAACUACGUGCCAGCAGCCGCGGUAAUACGUAGGGGGCAAGCGUUGUCCGGAAUUAUUGGGCGUAAAGAGCUCGUAGGCGGUCUUUUAAGUCGGGUGUGAAAUCUCAGGGCUCAACUCUGAAACUGCACCCGAUACUGGAUGACUUGAGGCAGGUAGGGGAGAUCGGAAUUCCUGGUGUAGCGGUGAAAUGCGCAGAUAUCAGGAGGAACACCGGUGGCGAAGGCGGAUCUCUGGGCCUGUUCUGACGCUGAGGAGCGAAAGCGUGGGGAGCAAACAGGAUUAGAAACCCCUGUAGUCC